AUUGAACGCUGGCGGCAGGCCUAACACAUGCAAGUCGAGCGGAGCGGCGGACGGGUGCGUAAUGCUAAGAAAUCUGCAUGUUAGUGGGGGAUAAGGUCCGGAAACGGGCGCUAAUACCACAACCUCUCAGAUGAGCCUAGGUCGGAUUAGCUAGUGGGUGGGGUAAAGGCCUACCAAGGCCACGAUCCGUAACUGGUCUGAGAGGAUGAUCAGUCACACUGGAACUGAGACACGGUCCAGACUCCUACGGGAGGCAGCAGUGGGGAAUAUUGGACAAUGGGCGAAAGCCUGAUCCAGCCAUGCCGCGUGUGUGAAGAAGGUCUUCGGAUUGUAAAGCACUUUAAGUUGGGAGGCGUUACCAACAGAAUAAGCACCGGCUAACUUCGUGCCAGCAGCCGCGGUAAUUC
rnacentral:rRNA from 1 species